ACUGGCAUUUUACUUCUGUAGAGGAUAUACACGAGACAAAAUUCCUCUGAUAAACUGGCAUUUUACUUCUAGGAUAUACACAUGACAUUUCUCAGAUUAACUGGUAUUUUACUUUUGUAGAGGAUAUACACGAGACAACAUUCCUCAGAUGUAUUGGUAUUUUACUUCUGUAGAGAAUAUACGGCCUAAAAAUGCGUCUACAGUUUGUCGGUCAUCGUUUGUUAGUACAAACACUACAUUUAUUUCUAAUUUCAACCUUGA
rnacentral:lncRNA from 1 species